ensembl:processed_transcript Gm20535 predicted gene 20535
ACACCUUCCCAGGUCAGCUGUAGAGUUGAGACGGAGACUUCAAACUUGCCCUAAGAGCAUGCUGGCAUACCUGGCAGUAUGCUGUGGGAGCUAAGAAGGGUCAUGGCCAAGGGUUAAGUGUUAGGAGGGAGGCUGCCUGACCUUGCCUCUGCAUCCACAGACCUGCACGAAGAUGGCAUCGUCCUGAGAUACCCCAAGGUAUGCUUGGCAGUGUGUGUGAUAAAGGACCAGGGCUAGAGCCCUGUGCUCACUGCAAGACUGUGUGAAAACAGCUGUCAGCCUCUCUUGAGGCUUUGAAGUCCCUGUCCAAUAAGAGGAGUUGGAGCCAGUGAACCCCCAAGGCUGUGGAGUGGUUCCCGCUUAGUGGUUUCUAAGGUCACUCAGGUAAACAUGACCAGCUACAUAAACACUGUCACCUGCCAGCAGGACCUAGUACAUGCCAGCAUGGACUGGGGCUAGGAGAGGAAUGGGAAGGGGAAGGCUUCCUGCCAGGCCCAGCCCUGCUCUGCAGCUUCACAGCGUGGCACAGACCUGUAGCUUCUCGUCCACAUCGUCGUCGCUCUCAUCCAGGUCCUCAUGCAGCAGCCGCCAUUCAUACUCGACGUGAACGUGGGAGUUAAACCGCCCCGACAAGGCCUGAGUGAGCUGGGAAGGAGGAUGGGAGGGCAGUGAGUGCCGCUGUCCCCGUUUCCAACCACAAGAGACAGAGCCGCAUGGGCAUCCAGACCAAGAACGGGCAGGCCAAGGAGGAGGGUCUUGGAAGUACUCACAAGGAGAUUCCCUUCUGUCCCAGGGCAGCUCACUUAAGUCCCUGGGUCUCUGUGCAGGUCCCUGCCUUAUCUACAGGAUAGCCCAGACCCUCCAAGCUCCCUGUCAGUGACAGAGUGCUGCACAGGCGAGGGAUUUGGGAACCUAAAAGGUGAUGGCCAGUGUAUGGGUAUUAGCACUGCAUGGGAGUCAGCUGGACCGCAGAAGGAAUGCGUUUGCUGCUAAGUCAGCCUUCCCACAUGUGAUGGUUUGUAUAUACUUAUCCCUGGGAGUGGCACUAUCGGGAGGUUGUCCUUAUUAGAGUAGGUGUGGGCAUGGGCUUAAGACCCUCACCCUAGCUACCUGAAAGUCAGUCUUCCAUAGCAGCCUUCAGAUGAAGAUGUAAAACUCUCAGCUUCUCCUACACCAUCCCUGCCUGGAAGCUGCCAUUUCCCUGUCUUGAUGAUAGUGGACUGAACCUCUGAACCUGUAAGCCAGCCCCAAUUAAAUGUUAUCUUCUG